CAACAAUUAUGUUGCCAAGUUUAAUCAGUUAGAUAAAAGAAGCGAAAGAGAGUUGUGAAUGGUACGCUCAACUUCCCAGCAUAGAUACCUGAUUGGAGAAAAAGCCUGCCAAGGGAGGUAAUAAAAUCAUUUGCCGAGCCGUAGAUGCAUCUAGGGUAUAGUGGAGAGUGAUCUUAACGUAUACACUGGGGAUUAUCGAGGAUGGAUAUAUGCUGGAUUGAGAGGAAAGUCACUCAGAUAUAGGAAUGUUAAACAAUGUGACCUCGAAAUUUGAUCAUGAAUUCUGUGUUACUUCCCUAUGUAUAGUUGAGGUGUGAGGAAGGUGUGUAUUGAAGGACUACUUUUUGAGGUGUGAGGAAGGUGUGUAUUGAAGGACUACUUUUUGAGGUGUGAGGAAGGUGUGUAUUAAAGGACUACUAGUUUUUGAGGUGUGAGGAAGGUGUGUAUUAAAGGACUACUUUUUUUUAGGUGUGAGGUGUGUAUUGAAGGACUAGUUUUUGAGGUGUGAGGAAGGUGUGUAUUGAAGGACUAGUGUUUUUAGGUGUGAGGUGUGUAUUGAAGGACUGGUUUUUAGGUGUGAGGUGUGUAUUGAUCGACUGGUUUUUGAGGUGUGAGAAAGGUGUGUAUUGAAGGACUACUUUUUUUUAGUUGUGAGGUGUGUAUUGAAGGACUAGGCGUUUUGUUUAAGUGUGUGGAAGGUGUGUAUUGAAGGACUAGUUUUU